AAACUCUUGUAUUUCCUCGUUGCUGUUACAAUGUGAAGGAUUGACAGAGGCCUAUGAUUAACUAUAACCAUGCAACACAGGUUGAACUAAUGAGUGCAAGUGGUGUGAAAAAGAAGCGUGCUGUUGACUGGCUUAUGUACUUGAUAAAAAACAAAGAUUUGUUGUUCACGUUUUAUUGGGCUGUUGGAAAUGCCCAACAUACCUUGUGUAUAAUGAAUUAUUUCAGAAGUGAACCUGCAUGUUGUUGAAGGCAAAAAAGACCACUUUGAUCACAGAUAAAACCAAUAAUGAACUAAAUGAAGAAUUGAUUUACUUGUGUGUGGUAAUUGAGGGAGUAAUACUGGCCAAGAUACUCUGAAAACUACCAACUUUAGUGAUCCACCUGAGUAAGAACACAGGCAACCUUCCCAUUAUCAUCUCACACCUAUGCUAUAAUAAUGUUAUUAGAUUGGUGACUGAAGGUUUUCAGUUUGUGCAUCUGUGUGUAAAAUCAGUAUUACAAUUAUAGAUUUUGCCUGAAUAUGGAUUAUGUCUUGAGAGCAUUUUGACCUAUGAAUUAGAGGAUAAUAUUGGUUUCAGAUAUCAUUAUAGAACCAGUUUUUAACAGACACACAAUUUGCAACAUUCAAAAGUCCAGACUUCCUUAAUACCUUGACUGGUUAAAAAUAUAUGUAACUCAGUUAUGCAGACUUAGUUUGAUUUUCAGUUUGCAUCACCUUGCCUGAUUUUUCAGAUUAGGUGCAAUAAUGAUAGUAUGGUUGACCUCAAUAACCCUUAAUAGGGAACAUUAGUCAGGAAUCUUACUUUCUAUUAUCUAAAUUGUCUGUGAGAGUUAUGUGACGAGAGAAUUAUUGUAUUCUAUCAACCAUUGAAUACUCUAAUAGCACUCACUUUCUAGAUUUAGAUAUGAACAAAUACUGAAGAAUACCAGACAGUAUUCACCUCUUGUCAAAUUGCCUCCAACAGAAGUUAAAUAGCUUCGAGAGAAAGAAGAGGGCAGAACUGGCAAAAACGUGGACUUCAGCAUAAUUAUCGCUCUACCUUCAAUGUGCACACAUAACUAUAUACAUUGGUUAAGCUAAUAAUAUUAUUUCUGGUCAUGCACUGAAUUUUAUGGAGCCUGUGAGAACGUAUGGAGAGGUAGGAAUGGUUUCCAGAAAAUCAACAUGGAGAGCAGAUGUGGUUUGUGCCUUGCCUUGCCAUUUCUGUGGCAUUUUAUCGGAAGCAGAAAAUGUGGAGUAUGUCCAGCCCAGAGGCCAAUGUGUCACUUAAGUGGCCAAAUAAAGGCCUUUUCUGCCACCACUGGCAUUUUACUAGCAGCAGGUGGUUCUCUGUCCUGUGAUGAGACAACCUUUUUAAACUUUAGUGGUCUAGGCUUUGAGUGUCAAGUGAGUUUGAAUCCAAAUGUAGCCUUCGGAAGUAAUAGACACUCCUUCACCAACAAAUCUGAUUUCAUUCUUUAACCAUGCCCCACUGCACACCUCAUCUCCUUCUCAUCUCCCUUCUCUCUCUAAUCCCUCCAUUCCCUUCACUCCCUUCACUCUCCUAGGGCUUGCUUGACUUGCCCCACAGACCACCACCCCACUUACUUUGAUCCAAGAAUGGCACUCAUUCAGCUUCUUCAGCUGGUGCCAUCCCAGCACUCGCCACCAUUCUUGCUAUUGGGAUUGAAUUGCUAACCGUCCUCUGAUUAGUUGCCAAUUCUCGGAGGUGUGAUAUUGUCUAUUAAAGGGAUGGGAACCCCAUCAACAUCUCAUCAGCGUCUGUGAGCUGGAGUAUAAAGCUGGGACAACAGAAAAGGAGUGUGCUUGCUCUUGGGAGGUUUCCAUAUCCUCAGGAUUUCCAAUGAUUGUUUCAUAUUGGACAGCUAAGUUGGUUGAUGAAAGCCUGCAUAUUAACUAAAUGUUACAUUUGAAUAAAUAUUACAUUUCUGAUUUGCUAGUGCAAACGUAAGAGAUUUUGCUUUUCUUUUCAUAAAAGGGAAGGAGGGGGAAAAAAAAUGACUGACUUGUCUUAGCUGUGAACCAGGCCGGGUUAAUAAAUUACAUUGAAAUGACCCGAAGUAAAAAUAACUUCUGUGCAAAUAGUGCCCCUGGUAUUGUAAAGCUUUGAAUGUUUUCACACCCCAUUAAUUUAUUACUUCUCUUUCUUCAUCUUUAAAUUUCAUUUUUUUUAAAUUCAGACUCCCUGCUGCAGUAGUGAUUUUCAUCUUGUUGUUAAUUUUCCCUGCUCCAUAUGGAGCUCCAGACAUUUCACCUGGAGGCUGUACUAGAUUUUGCUGUAGUGAUCGCACUUCCGGAGGCCAAAACUGUCAGUUAAGGUUCCUGGUGCAUCUGUCUGCACCAGGCAUUUUUUGCUGGCACUGAGUGUGAAUAACAAAUUGGAUGCACCUGAGAUUUGGAUGAUUAGUGUGUUUGUGUAUCAGUGCUAUGUAUGUACUCCUUGUAAGCAGAUAGCUCUGGGGGGGCCUAAAUAGCCGCCAUAGGUGGAACUGUACUCAAACCUUACAUUUUGGCUUCCCCGAGCACGCUGUAAACAUCCCUCACAUUAAAAGGCUUGAAAUAUUUCAUCCUGCUUUGUCAUUGAUUAGAAAAGAGUCUUUAAUUUCAUUUCACCCCAUGUUGUGAUUAAUUUGCAUUCUUUGUCAGAAGUUAAUGAAGUUUUUUACGGUUCACACUGAAAAUCCUUGAAGACAUCUUAUUUGAUCUUCUGUUUAUACAACCGCCGGCAGAUGCUGUUUUGAUUGAUAGCAGGCUUUCGUUCCCCAAGUUAUUUUAAGCAACUGCUCUGUUUUGAAUACAAUAUAAAGCUACUUUAUUUUUCCCUUUUCCUCAUUGGGGAAAAAAUUAACAGGAAUUUAUGCUAAAAAUUGACACUAGCCUCUGGGAGGUUAGACCCCUCUGUUGCUGCUUAAAAUGUUUUUGGUCUUUAUGUAGCUCUAAUUUAUUGUAAAGUAAAAGUUUGCUGAGUAGAUGUCGAGUACUAAUUGGAGUCAAUGCAGGACAGUCCCUGAAGCAGCAUGUACCAGAGUUUCUUCCUUUUUUUUUGCAUAUAAUCCAUAUUAUUGACACUAUUUGCCAUGAACAUUUUUAUUCAGAUGCAGACAACUCAUCAAGGAUUUAAAUGCUUGUUUGACUUGGAAGCUCCACUUACAAAUUUAAAAAUUGUUUUUUUUUAAUUGACACCUAGAAUUUUAAACAAAUUCUUAUUUAACCAGUUCCUUUAGAAUGAAUGUUUAUUAUAAUUGGAAAUUCAAUUAUAAUAGUUUGACAAACUAAUUCAUUGUAAUAUAAUGUUAACAAAUAUCAUGAAUUUUUAAACUGUAAAGCUCUGUUUCAGAAGGGAAACUGAUUGCUUCAGGUGCGAAACACUAAAAGAUGUUGCUAGGGUGAUUGAGCUAACACUUCAAUAUUAGCACAAGUUCUUACCAGUUUAUUAGUUUGUCUAAAAUUACACUUCUUGCCAGUUAUAGUUUGCCUAUGUAUAUUAUGUGACACUUCAUAAGUGUAUUGACUUUAGAAAUAAAUAGAGGCCUAGGGGAUGAAUGCAAGGAUGUUAUGAUGAACCUUCAUAGUAGUUUGGCCUCAGCUGGAUACCAGUUUUCAUUUAUGAACACCACACUUUAGGAAGGAUUUGAAGGCUUUAGAGAUGGUACAAAAAGAUUCGCAAGACUGUUCCCAAGGAUGAUGGACUUCAGUUGCUGAGAUACAUUGGAAAAAUGGGAGUUGUUCUCCUUGGAUAAGAGAAGGUUGUGAGGAGAUUUGAUAGAAUAGUUUAAAACCAUGUGGAACCUAGACCAAAUAGAUGUAAAGGGAACUGUUCCAUUUGGCAGAAUGGUGAAGAACCAAGAGUCACAGAUUUAAAAUCAUGAACAAAAAUAAAAGUAAAAUGAGGAAAAACGUUUUUUGCAGUGAGUGUUACAGAUCUGGAAUGUACUGACUAUGAAGGGGAUGGAUAGAAAAGGGUUUUGAAAGGAAAUGGUAAAUGGUUAAAGAGAAAAUUUUCAAGGUUCCAAGAAAAGCAUGGAGGCAGUAGAUCCAGUUCAGUUGCUCUUGCAAAGAACCAACAUAAAUAUUACGGUCCAAAUUAACCUCCCUCUGUGCUGAGAUGUAACCGUGCCAUGACUGACCACUUUGGAAACAACUGCAUUUAAAGGCAUAUUAGCACCAAAGGUUGCUGUUUAAAACAAUCCUUUUCUGAUGCCUGAGAAAUCAAAGGAGACACAACUUAAGACAUUGAAAGAAAAGACUAGAAGUAUUAGAAACUGACAUAAAAAGUAACUAUUUAAUAAUAGUCUGUCAACCUAUCUUUUUUCUGUAAACUGAAAAAUGUACUGCGUUGGUAAGUCCCCUUCAUGGUGAAUCACAUAACCUAUCAAGCCCUAGACUAGCUUUCAGGUAACCAAAUAAAACCUGCUUGUCCUGUGUCACAAAAGCUGAAAUAUUAUCUGAACUUUACCACAUAUGUUUGUAGGAUUGUUUUUAAAUUGUAAAACACAGUCAAUAUAAAUAAAUAUCAAUUAAAAUUAAAAUUACUGGAAAACUGAAUAUUAAAGUCAAGUUUUAAUCUAAUCAGAAGUUAAUCUAAUCAGUUAUGAAGUUUCUUCCAUUGAAUCUCAGAUGUAUAUGAUUUCCUUUUAAAAAAAAAGCUGAAACAUAGUCCGUUACUUUUCAAGGUUGUUACAAAUAUUUGGAGUUAAAGCACAUGAAAAUAGGUUCUGAUUAGUACUGGUCACAGUGAGGCAUUGUGGAGAUUAAGUUUUUUUGUUUGGGAGGUGAAAUAUUUUUAAAUAAUAGAAAUAAAUUGAAUUUUAUUGACAAAUCAAUCAGUUUUUGCAUGUCUGAACUGCAUAUAAAACAAAUAUCCAGUGUUCAGUUUGUAUGAGAACUUUGGUUUCCUGAAUGUGACCAAAAUGUCACCCUUUAGUGACACCACAAAAGAGAAUGAUGUUACUCUCUACUGUUGUAUGAAGUUUGGAUUAGUCUGUUCUAUUGCCAAACUAACCUUAUCAUUUUACAAGUCCCUCACGGUCCAAUUUUCCCAGUCUGUUUUCAGUUACAUAAACGAUUUGCAUUCAGACAAGUACAAAUGGACUUGAGUCAAUUUUUCAACAUUUACUUCUCUCAAACUCAAAAAUAAUAACUAGAUUGUAAGGAAAGAUCAGGCCAGUUGCUUUUGGUGUGGAUCUUCAUCAAUGUACUAAUCUUAAAUUAUUGAAAGGCAUUUAGUGCCCAAGUUCCUCUCUGAAUAAGAGGAACAUUUAAUAUACACUUUACAGUUGUCACUUCAAUUUAGAAAUCUUUUGUGGGGUAUGGGAAUUUGUGCUGUGCCAUCAAUAACAGAAUCAUAAACUGAUAUAUAAAACAAAAUAUUUAAUGUACAGAGAAAAUUAUUCUUUGAGCACCUUUCACACACACUUGGACAAGAUGCAAGUAAAGGUAUACCUUUUGAUAAGCAAUUACUUUCUCACCUCAAUUUAAAAGUCUCUUUCUUUUGCAACUCUUUUUGUGUCUCUAUAGAUCAUGCUGUUAUGUUUGGUUCCUUUGAUUCUUACUCCUAAGCUUCAGAUCAUAAAAUUUUGCAAAUAGGUUAUUCAACCCACCAAAACUGUACUCCUUUUUUUAACAUUAACCAGGCAGAGUGUAUUAUGGCACAUUAUCAGCUUAGGAGAAUCAAGAGAUAAGUUCAGCAAGGUACUGUUGAUGGGUUGUUCAUAAUUAGAGAAUAGUAGGAAUAGUGUUGAUGGAACAUAUUACUGUAUAAACAGACGAAGGCCUUUUAAUAUACUUUUUCAACUCUGUAUGAAGAUAAAUCAUGGUUUUGCACAAUGAUGCAAGUUUGGCUGAUUUUCUGGCAGCAUCUUGAUUCAAUUCACAAUUGGAAGAGGGAAAAAUAAAAACAAAUGGGAUUCCAGUUUUGUUUAUUUUGCAAUAACUCUUCAACCGUUUCUUUAGUGUCAGAAUUGUAAAACUGAUAGAUUUAGCAGGUUUUUGUGUAUACUUUGUAUUGCAUCAAUUUUUAGAUCAAAGUAGAUGUCAAUAAACAAAGUUCUUCCACAUUAUGUAAACUUGGCUUUAAGUGUAACUAUGUAAUUCUUUCUUUCAUUCAUUGGCAUUUCUUUUAAAAACAUCAUCUUAUUGUUUGAGUUAUUUUGCAUAAAGCAUUUUUAACCUCAGAAAAGGACAUCUUCUGUUGAUGUCAGUAUAUGGUUAGCUUAUGAGAAUAGCUAAGUCCACUUCUUUUGGGUGUGAAUAAAGGACACUGAAAGAGUCAUGGCAUAGAAACAGAUCCUUCGGCCCAACUCUUCCAUGUUGACCAGGUUUUUUAAACGGAACCAGUCCCAUUUGCCAACGUUUAGCUGAGUGAAGUGUAUAGUUUCCAUUUUGUAACUUUCAGGUACCUAUGUACAGUGCACCUUCUGUGUUGGCACUUAAGAGCAAUUUUGCAAAAUUACUGGCAGAUAUUCCAAGAACACUUGCAAUGGUUUAAACAUAUAACCAUUUGUAUACCAUGGACAAACCAAUUUGGAAUUGCCUACUGCUUUAGCAAAUAACACAAUAAUAAUAACAAUACAGUACAUCUAAUACAAUUAACUGCCCAUUGUUUUUGAGGUUGGUUUAUAUUUGUAGUUUUUCUUUCCUCACCUUGCAUCCUGUCAAGCCCUCCUACAUCACAUGCAUUUCUCAUUACGGAAGAUGGAUGCAUAGCCUGCUACGUACACAUGCUAAUAUCUCUUUAAUUGUUUGGAGCCUGGUUUGAUGUUUCAUUUUAAUUCUUCUUUUGACUGUAAAGAGUAUCAUACUUCCUACACUUGAUUUUCUAUUCUCUGAUACUUCCAUUCAUUUCCCUGCCUCUCAAUUUGCCUGAUCUGAAUAAACACUUUAAUGUUGUGAACCAUGGGGCUAAACCUAUUCCUGAUGUUAUCUAUGAAUACUUUGAGCUACCUUUACCAUAAGGUUUUAACUCUAUGUGCUGGCAUGCCAGAAUUUCCAAUGUAUUUUGUAUUCUAGGCUAGCCAUUUUAAUUUAACUUCAGACACUCUUGAGAGCCAGGUAAUAUUUAACCUAUCAGAAGCUAUAGAGGUGCAAAUAGAAUAUAUUAUUACUGUCCUGCAGAGAUAAAUAAGACAAGUGUGUUUCAAAAGUAUUAUUUCCAAUUCAGUAUCCUCUCUACUGUCCCACUGUCACCUUUUCCAGUGUUUCUUUUAUUUGUAAUUUGCAUUAUUUUAUCAUUCAGUCAAUCUUAGUUGAUUCCUUUCCAAUUUUCAGAAUUAGGAGCACAUUCUUUUAUCCAAUCAAAUGAGGGCCUGCUAUAGUCAGCAGACAGGUUAAAUUUGAUAUUGGUAGAUCCAAUAGCUGCAGGUUUCAUUUAGAGAAGCCAAUUGAUGUUAAUCCACCAUCCAAGUUAUUUAUUGCAUUGUAUUUGUUAUUCUUUCCUCAUCCUUUGGUUCUUUCACAUUAAAUGGAUUUUCUAGAAAUGUGAUUGGCGAGUCAAUCUAUUCCAAACAGAUGCUGUUGUUGUUAUUAAGCAUUUGAAGCUAUUUGGUGAGAUGUUUAUUUCAUAUUUUUCCCUUGUAGAGAUGUCCCUUAGAGAUGUCCUUUCCUCUCUCGGUUAUUUCCGAGAAUGCAAGUCACAGAAGGAGAAAAUAUCAUCCUUUAAGUGGGGAAGUUAAUGGAAAUGAUUUUUCUUUUUGUUCUUAUUCAUUCAUGUGAUAAGAGAAUUAGUGACAAGGCCAGUAUAUAUUGUCUAUUCCCAAUUGUCUUUGAGAAAGUGCCAUCUUGAACUGCUACAUUCCAUACAGUGAAGGUACGGCGCGCAUUGCUGUUAGUUAGAGAAUUCUAGUAUUUUGACCCAGUUUGAUAAAGGGAUGGUAAUGUAUGGUGCUUGACUUGGAGGGGAACUUAGCAGUGGUGAUGAUGUUUGCAGGGAUCAAAUACUUUUUAAUAUACAAAUCAUUUCUUGUUAGUUUUUCCAACAGAGGAUGGAACAGUGAAUGCUUUAAAAGAUAACAAUUCAAUUUUUUUUUGCUUCGAGAUCUUGUCUAUUUUAGACCCCUCCUUCCUCUAUCCCUGAUCAGCAGGUCAGUUUUGACUGCAUAUCAGCAAAAAUCCCUUAGUAAAUUAGAGCAAUCAAAUUCACUUAUCAAAUUUAAACUGGAAUUAUAACCUGAGUGCUAGAGUCUAGGCUCUGAAGAGCUGCAAGACAUUUAAUACUCAAUUUUAAUCCUUUUCUUUAAAAAAGAAAGGUUACUUUAUUGCUUCGUGAACAUGCAUUAAGCUCAAGUUAAAUAUGUGGAGUUGAGCAAUCUUGAGAAAUGCUGUGCUAUUUAAGUGCCAAUCAUAUUCCUAUAAUAUAUAAAACCUCACAUGCAGCCUAUGAAAAGCUUUGUCAUCCAAAUAAUUAGAGAGCACUCCAAUAUCUGUUUUUGAAGAACGUACCGACACUGGUCUGAAAAGCAGUGAAUUUUCACUAGGUGAUAAAAAUAUUAGAGAUAAAAAUUUGUCAACUGAUAUGGGAAGAUCUGACCUGGGUCACUGGUAAAUCUCUCCAAGAAGAGCUUAAGGGCAAGUCAUAAUUCCAGUGUGGAAGAGAAAGAUGAAAGCUAUAGCUGGUUUCUUCUGUAAGUUACGUUUUGAGGUGGGUGAAUCCAUUUUACUUCUCUGAUUGUGCUUUUGAUAAUAAUGUAAAAGGGAGAGUGGAAGGUCUACACAGCCACUUUCCGUCAAAAAGCAUUGUCAUGGCAACUGAAAUAGAAAAAAGUACUGAUAGUGAAAGUCAUCCUUUUUUCUUCAUUCACUUUAACCAGAGGCAUUGAUUAAAUGGUGAACUGCCACGGGAAAACUGGUAAAGUGCUCAAUCUACAGAUACAAUUCAUUGAAACUAAGACAGAAAGAUGAUAAAAAGUGAAAACUGCAAAUGCUGGAGAUAUGAAAUGAAAGCAGAAGAUGUUGUAAUCCACCAUCGUCUACAAAGUUAAAGAAUGCAUUGUAAUUGUGGAGGGGCAAAGGGUCUUUGUCAGAACCUUUUCACUUUAUAGAUGCUGACGGAUUUCUUUUGGAGGAUGCAGGUUUACAAGUUUCCUAACAGCAGAUAUGUGACUUCUUUCACUUCAAGACUUGUCCAUAUUUUCUCCCCAUUUGUUACAAGAAAUAGUCAAACCAAUCUACAAACAGACGGCAAUUUUUUUCUCAGUUUAAAUCAGGGUUGUGUCUGAAGCAAUUAACUCAUUCCCUGCUGAAAGUAAAUACUUCACAUACAUGACAAGUGGUUGUGCUUCAAAGUAUUUAUUAGGUUGUGGAUUUACUUUAGAUAGUCUAAGAAAAUGAUGAGAUACUAUAUGUAAGUUCUUACCUUUUCAUAUCAUUCUACAGCAUAUGUGGCAAAUUACAUUUUGAAUGUUUUUUUCAAUAAUUAGCUUGCUCUUUCUGGUUUCAAAGAAACAUUGUUACAGAGUCUUAUGUACACACGUAUAUUUUAAAAAUCUAAGCUUUGUGAUAUGUUAAUACUAUGCUGUGUAUUUCCUACACAGAAUAGUAUUCUUGGUUCUGAUUAUCAUUUUUGCACUUAAACUGGCAGGUGCUAAGAUCUGGGGAAGUUCUGAAUGAAGUGAUUCAGAAAAACCAGGGAUCUUUAAUGCCACUACAGUUAUUGCAGUGCAUCGUUGAUGAGGAUCCACCAGUCCUUCCGGUUGGAGAGUUUUCUGAGCCAUUUGUACAUUUCAUCACUCAGUGUAUGAGAAAGUUGCCAACAGAAAGACCUGCACCUGAAGACCUCAUGGUCAAAAAGAUCAGCUGCAACAAAUCCAUGUGCCUCAAGUGAAAAAAAGGCAAUAUGUUUGUAAUCAGAAAAUUGGGUUUCAUUGUAAAAUAGUUUCAGUCGUCAAAAACAAAUUACAAACCAUUGUCAAUAAAAUGAUUUAAAAGGAUAAGGUACAGUACUUCAAUCAGCUAAUAACAAAACUCCCUUCACAUAUAGAAUGCUAAAAAAACGCAUGCCUUAUCCAAUUAGCAAUAUCUUCAGUGCCUUCUCUUCCCUUAACUUCAUUCAACCAUCUGUAUGCUGAAUUAGCAUUUAAAGUUGUGUUCUUCAACAUACCACCCACUGGUAUAGCUAGAAUAUGAAAUACCCUCUAAUUCAAAUAAGAAGAAUCACUGCCUGUAUCACACCAGAAAAGUAAAAUGCCAAAGUUGACAUUUCUGGGAACCACCAUGUGGAAGAUAGGAACAGGAAUCAACUAUUCCUGUGCAUGGUGUCUCAGUGGUUAGCACUGCUGCCUCACAGCAACA